AUGUGUGUCCCUGAUCUUAGCAUUCUUAGGAGUGUUGUGUUAGGAGACCAAUCUUAUCAUAUGGGAGCCAUUGUAGCUCGUAGGUUGCAUCAUAAUAGACAUAAUGGAGAUUUCUUUGGAGGAAUUUUUGCAACCCGCUUAGCUCAUUUUCUUGAGAUAGACAUUCGUGAGAGUGAUACGGAGUUGCCUCCUGCAUAUUUAGAUUAUAACUCUAUGGCUUCGCACCAGUUUGUCGAGAGGCCUGAAUCAACUCUCUUAUAUCGUUUAAUUUUUGAUAAACGACGUGUCUUCCGUAUUACUCUCCCUGCUCCUGCCUUCUUUGAUUCACAGGCAAAAGGAAGAUAUGUUAUUACCAGAGAGGAGGCAUAA
rnacentral:rRNA from 1 species